rnacentral:rRNA from 1 species
GUGAAGCGGCAACAGCUCAAAUUUGAAAGCUGGCCCUUUCAGGGUCCGCAUUGUAAUUUGUAGAGGAUGAUUCGGCGAGGGCUCCCGCCUAAGUCCCCUGGAACGGGGCGUCAUAGAGGGUGAGAAUCCCGUAUGCGGUGGGCUGCCUUAGCCAUGUGAAUCUCCUUCGACGAGUCGAGUUGUUUGGGAAUGCAGCUCUAAAUGGGAGGUAAAUUUCUUCUAAAGCUAAAUACCGGCCAGAGACCGAUAGCGCACAAGUAGAGUGAUCGAAAGAUGAAAAGCACUUUGGAAAGAGAGUUAAAAAGUACGUGAAAUUGUUGAAAGGGAAGCGCUUGCAACCAGACUUGUCCGCAGUUGCUCAGCCGGUCUCCUGACCGGCGUACUCUUCUGCGGCCAGGCCAGCAUCAGUUCGGGCGGUCGGAUAAAGACCUCGGGAAUGUAGCUCCUCUCGGGGAGUGUUAUAGCCCGGGGUGGAAUGCGGCCAGCCUGGACUGAGGAUCUCGCUUCGGCAAGGAUGCUGGCGUAAUGGUUGUAAGCGGCCCGUCUUGAAACACGGACC